UUUAACAAGUCAUUUUUUCCCAAGGUAAUAGUGGGUUGUAAAUCUAACGAUUUUAAAAAACUGAAAUCAAAAUUUGCUGACUUGGAUUCAUUCAUAAGAACCUGAUGUGCUAACGAUAGCGUAUCAUAAUUUGAAUCGGGGUUACUUUGUUCUGAGAUAUUAGUGGGUGUUUUAGAAGAUGAAAAAAAAUCGUGAUUAUACUCCAUUGUAAAAUCUUGUUGUAUAAAGUUUGUAGAGCAGAUGUCUUCAUCUGUACUAGUUACCGAUUCAGCGACCGAAAAUGAUUCAAAUAAAUCUUCAGUUGACAAAGAAGGAGAAGGGCACCAAUAUUUACCACCAUAGUUAUACUUCUGAAAAAUACUGGAGAUAGACGAGGGAAAAAUUACCGCAGAAUAGUAUGAAGGCAUAUACGCAGAUGUAGGGAUUUUAGAAUCUGAAAUAUUUAAAGAAAUUUCAGGAAUAUCAACUUCGACGUUGUAUGGAUUUAAAUCUUCGGUUACCAUUCUAUCAUCCGAUUGAAUUUCCAUUUGCUUUGGAAUAUUUUCGUGAGUAUUCAAAUUUGGACUGGUGUUUGAUUGAGAGAUGGAAGUGUUGAUUUCCUCAUUAUCUAAGGUUGUCAUAGUAUUUGCAAAAUUAGGCUCAAUCAUCUCAACUUUUUCUUCAACGUUAGGUAAGUCAAAGUAAUCAAAAUCAGCCUCUGUUAUUCCAACAUCGUCUAUUUCCUCCAUUAGUAUGUCAUCUGAAACAUUAUGAUCAGCAACAAGUAUCUCUUCAUUUACUUUUAUUGAAGCAGGUGUAGAUUUUGCAGAAUUUAUCGAAUAAUUAACGGGAGAAGAACUAUGAGAAGGAACCAAGGUUACAACGGCAUCAGCAGUCUCUUCCUUUUCUGUAAAACCUUCUUUUCUUUUAUCUGAAGCUUCCGCUUCUUCAUUUGCGAACUCAGUUAAUUCCUUUUUAUUGUUUACGACGUUUGAAGGGAGGACUAGGUUAUUCAAAUCUGUAAGGUUGCUAGAUAAUGAAUCAUCAUUCAUUCGAAGGGCCGACGUUUCCAAAAAGCAAAGUUCUAAAGGCCAGGAAAAUUCUAAUGCCGAAGAUUCUAAGGUAACACCCACCCACUUUGAAGUAGUCGUAAGAGAGAAUCCAUAGCGGUGUUUCAAUGCAUCAACAGUUUGAGCAGAUGCGUUGGCAUGCACAGAGGUUAAUGUUGCCAAACAACCAGUCGGGGCUAAACGAAUGACAGUGUCUAACUUUUUAACCAAAUUAUCCACUUCCGACAAACGAUAUACCGUCUGCCUUGUAGGCUUUAAGUAAAAUUCUAUAUGGCCUUUCGAUAAGACAGAAAGCUGUAAAUCCACAACAGGAUAUCCAUAUAUGUUCCAGAGCUGGGUAUCGAAAGAAGGGUGUAAUUUUAAAGGAAGAAGGACACCAUAAAUUGGAACAAAGUUGUAUUCUUUGCACAGCCAAUACAACACCGUUUUUUUCAAUCCUUGAAGAAAGUUUAUAUACAGGUCUAAUAGAAGAGCUAAUUCAUCUUUUUGAAAAAGAGCUAAUCUGGAAAAUGCACCUGAAUUAAGUAGCAUAAAAGAAGAUGAUUCCUCAGGAAUAGAUGGAAUGGCUUGAAAAUCAUAUACAAAAAGUAAGUCAUUCUUCGCGUGAACAAUGCAAUCCUGAUUUCGUAGAUAAGCUUCUUUGUCUUCUAAGAGGGAAGCAGCAUCCUCAUUGUCCUUUCGCUGAACCUGAUACUUCGCAUAAUAUAUAGUGU